CCUGUAUGUGAGAGAAAAUACACCUUAUUCUCACACUGUUAAUUUCUGCAAAACCAAUUUCAGCGUCUUUGAAAAACUAGCUGUUUCACGAUCCUUAUUGAGGUGCGUUCCUUUGGGGGGCGCGAAUCCUCCCCCUGGCUCGCGCUCAGAUUGUUUUAGUUUAGCAGAAGUAAAACAUGUAUGUAUACAUAGCCUACGUCAUAUAACAGUCUUACGCAAAGGGAAAAGUUUAUAAAGCAUGAUAUCACCCCUUUAAUUGCGGUCGCAAGGGCACGCGUGUUUAAUUGCCGGCUGGGUCACGCGCAGUGCUGAUGACAGGCGCUGUCUCGUAUGGCUGUUGAAACAUCGAGUUAACUGCUCGAUAUGUGUUCUGU